rnacentral:tRNA from 1 species
GCUCGAUUGGCCAAGUGGUAAGGCGUCUCUUUAGUAAGGAGAAGAUCAGGAGUUCGAACCUCCUAUCGAGCA